AGAACGAACGCUGGCGGCGCGCUUAACACAUGCAAGUCGAACGAGAAGGCGUAGCAAUACGCUUGUAAAGUGGCGAACGGGUGAGGAAUACAUGGGUAACCUACCCUCGAGUGGGGGAUAACCCGCCGAAAGGCGGGCUAAUACCGCGUACGCUUCCGAUCUUGCGGGAUCGGAAGGAAAGCUGUCCCUUGGGGAUGGCGCUCAAGGAUGGGCUCAUGUCCUAUCAGCUUGUUGGUAGGGUAACGGCCUACCAAGGCAUCGACGGGUAGCUGGUCUGAGAGGACGAUCAGCCACACUGGCACUGCGACACGGGCAGACUCCAGGGAGCAGCAGUGAGGAAUCGUUGACGCAAAGUGGGACGAAAGCCUGACGCAGCGACGCCGGCGGUGGGGAUGGAAGGUCGUCGGAUUACGUUAACCCGUUCGGGUAGGUAACGGACCGGACC
rnacentral:rRNA from 1 species